UAUUUUGGAAGAGAUGCAUUUAUUAGAUAAAAAACCAAUACAUACUUUUUCAAGUAUGAAAUUUGGUGAUUUACAAUAACUUAGCAAAUCGCAUAGUGAAAACAGGCGAUAAAUCAUUCAAGUUUCUGACCUAUCAGCUUUCGACGGUAUGGUAUUGGCUUACCGUGGCAGUGACGGUUAACGGGGGAUUAGGGUUCGAUUCCGGAGAGGGAGCCUGAGAAACGGCUACCACAUCUAAGGAAGGCAGCAGGCGCGCAAAUUACCCAAUUCUAACAGCAUAAGAGAGGUAGUGACAAGAAAUAACAAUACAAGGCAGUUAAAAUGCUUUGUAAUUGGAAUGAUAGAAAUUUAAACACUUUUUAAAGUAUCAAUUGGAGGGCAAGUCUGGUGCCAGCAGCCGCGGUAAUUCCAGCUCCAAUAGCGUAUAUUAAAAUUGUUGCAGUUAAAAAGCUCGUAGUUGAAUUUCUGUUAAAAAUAACCGGUCUGCUUUUAAUAAAAGUGGUAUCUUGGUGUGUUUUUAGCAAUAAUGUCCUUUGAAAUGUUUUUUACUUUAUUGUAAUAAAUAAUAUUCAGGAUUUUUACUUUGAGAAAAUUAGAGUGUUUCUAGCAGGCUAACGCUUUGAAUACUGCAGCAUGGAAUAAUAAAAUAGGAUUUUAGUUCUACAUUAUUGGUUUUAAGAACUAAAUUAAUGAUUGAUAGGGACAGUUGGGGGCAUUUGUAUUUAACUGUCAGAGGUAAAAUUCUUAGAUUUGUUAAAGACAAACUACUGCGAAAGCAUUUGCCAAAGAUGUUUUCAUUAAUCAAGAAC
rnacentral:rRNA from 1 species